rnacentral:rRNA from 1 species
GUCUACGGCCAUGCCACCCUGAACAAGCCCGAUGUCUGAUCUCGGAAGCUGAAUAGAGUCGGGCCUGGUUAGUACUUGGAUGGGAGACCACCUAGGAAGACCAGGUGCUGUAGGCA